CUUAUAGCAUUACAUCACAUAUACUAAACUUGGAACAAUACAGAGAAGAUUAGCAUGGCCCCUGAGCAAGGAUGGCAUGCAAAUUCAUGAAACAUUCCGUAUUUUU